rnacentral:rRNA from 1 species
UACGUAGGGGGCAAGCGUUGUCCGGAAUCAUUGGGCGUAAAGAGCGUGUAGGCGGUCGACCAAGUCUGGGGUGAAAUCUUUCGGCUCAACCGGAAAAGUGCCCCCGAUACUGGCCGGCUAGAGGGAGAUAGGGGCAUGCGAAACUUCCGGUGGAGCGGUGAAAUGCGUAGAUAUCGGAAGGAACGCCGGUGGCGAAAGCGGCGUGCUGGAUCUCUUCUGACGCUGAGGCGCGAAAGCCAGGG